GCCAUAGAAGCAGAUCACAUUUCCUUUGCUUGUAUCCUCCAAAACACCAAUUAUCUCUCCCGCGGAAUCAUCGACGUUUCUUGCUUCGAACUGGAUCUCGGUCUCCUGCAGUGUUCAACAAUAAUAACACCAAAUGAGGGAACACUAUAUUCAUGUACGUGCAAGAGCUCACAUCGGCACUAGCUUUUCUUCAAUCAACUCUUGGAGCAUGAGUGCAUGACAUAGGAACCGGCAAAAAGUUAAAUAUUCUAAAUUGGAAUGAACUCUUUGGAGAAUUUAAAAAGUGCAUGUAUAUGUUUGAAAAAUAGAUUAGCUUGAUCAACAUAGAUGGUGACGGCUAACCAACAGGACAAGUCAGCAUAGACGGUGAUGCAGCGAAGUAGUGGCAGAUGGAGAACAUGGGAAGAUGAUGAUUUGAAGCCAAGAAAGAGAGUUAAUUACAACAUUCAGGGCUAUGGAACCAAAUAAAACUGGGAGCAAUAGCAACGAUGAGCAUGGUUUGGACAAACCUACUGCCAGGGCGGGCAAGAUACCAGGUCAGGUUACAAGAAAAUCGUCGAGGAAUAAGGUGAAGCCCAGCAAAUAGUAAAAGUCAGGUUCACACCUCUCUGUGAUGCAGAUUGUUAGCAGCUCAAACAGAUAUGGCUAUGAUGCUCCUUUAUAAGUCUACAGGGAGUCAUCGAAUAGGAGGAAACAAAUGUCUUGGGUCUGUAGCCUCUUAAAUUAACAAGACUGCUGAUGCUUUUUGUUGUUCUGGAAGCUUGUUCUUAUUUUAUCAAAGAGCUCUUUUACGGUG